UACGUAGGGUGCAAGCGUUAAUCGGAAUUACUGGGCGUAAAGCGCACGCAGGUGGCUGAGUCAGUCGAUUGUGAAAGCCCUGGGCUCAACCUGGGAAUUGCAUUGGAUACUGGCAGGCUAGAGUGCGGUAGAGGGUAGUGGAAUUCCCGGUGUAGCAGUGAAAUGCGUAGAGAUCGGGAGGAACACCAGUGGCGAAGGCGACUACCUGGACCAGCACUGACACUGAGGCACGAAAGCGUGGGGAGCAAACAGG
rnacentral:rRNA from 1 species